GAUAAAGUGGCUGAAGUUUUAAGGCAAUAAAUUGUAAAUUUAUUAAUGGUUUUUUUAACCCUUUAUCA
rnacentral:tRNA from 1 species